AGCAUAAGUAUGGUCAUUAUGAAAGCGUUAGUCCUCCAUCAUUUCAAACUCAGAUUUUUGAAGGGCCAGAUACUGAUAUUGAAACGGAACGCGACUUGCUAGUGCGAGGCGAGGGAAGGCUGAAGAUGGAACUGAUGAUGACAUGCCAAGUACUUCUGGAAGACAAUACUCCGAUGCUGCUGAUGUUUCGAAGCAUUUUGGUCAAUCUCCUCUCCCUGCUUAUGAACCUGCUUUUGACUGGGAAAAUGAGAGGUCAAUGAUAUU